UCCUCAUUUGUCUUCAGGUGCAUUGAUUCAAGAAGCAUUGAAUAAACACAUUCACAUUGAUUCCAGUUGCAGAACAGCUGGUCUCUGCUGGGCACUCCUAGGUGCCAUGCUUGGCAUUUGUCAUCCAUUUAACUCUCCCUACAGUUUUGUCAUGUGAGGUGUUACCUUCACUUUUCUAGGGAAGGAAAUUAAGGUUCAGGGAAGAUAGGUCAUUUAUCUGAGAUGAAAAGGCUAAUCAGCGGCAGAGCCAAGUCCAAAGCCGGGCCACCUUAAGUUGGCUCCUUCCACUUUUUAUUUAUUAUUAUUUUAUUUUAUUUUAUUUUUUAGGGCCGCACCUGUGGUAUAUGGAGGUUCCCAGGCUAGGGGUCGAAUUAGAACUGUAGCCGCUGGCCUAUGCCACAGCCACAGCAAUGUGGGAUCCAAGCUGCAUCUGUGACCUAAACCACAGCUCAUGGCAAUGUCAGAUCCUUAACCCACUGAGCGAGGCCAGGGAUUGAACCCGCAUCCUCAUGGAUGCUAGUCAGGUUCAUUAACCGCUGAGUUAUGAUGGGAACUCCCUCCUUUCACUUUUAAAAGACAAAUUCAAGUCUUCCGACAAAGUCAGCCACUCCCCCAGUUGUGCUAAUCUGGAUGGCUUGCGUGUUUCUGGGACUCUAUCUAUUAUGUAGUAAUCAUUUACAGAUUUUUCUUCUUCACAAAAUUACGAGCUCCUUGAAAGCAGGAUGCCCAUCUUCCUGACCAUCUCUGAAAGCCUGGGAACUGAUUCAUGCACUCAACUGUCUGCUAAUCACUCUGUGAGGACUGGAUCCGGGAAUGAACAAGAUGACCUGGUCCUUGAACCCUGGAGCUCACAUUCCAGGGGAGAUGGACAUUAGGUCAGCUGUGGAGUAUGAUAAACGCUACAAUGGCAAAGGUGCUGGAUUACUGAGUUUAUGAGACUAAAGACUCUAUCCUACUGGGGGAAGGAGAAGGGAGCUGGUUCCCUUUAGCCGUGACAGUGACUGAAGAAGGAAGAUGUCUUGGUUGAGGUGAGAGGUUGAUUCUGACUUAGUCAGGGGUGGGUGGGGGGGAGAAGGUUCUGGGAGGGGGGAACAAUCUGUGCAAAGGCAGGAGGCAAGAGGAAAGAGGAGAAGGAGGGCAGUGGAGAAGGAUAGGGCUGCAUAUGGACAAGGACCAGACUGGGAAAGUCCUUGACAGCUUAUUAUUCUAAGGUUACUGGAUUCAAGCACUGAGUGAUAAGAUUAGGUUUGAGUUACUUUAACUACAAAGGGGAGAAUGAACUACACAGAGGAGGAAGCAGAGGCAGGAAGCCCAGAUAAGAACAGUCUCCUAGUCAAGAUGAGAGGCUCUGGGCCUGUACAAGGGCAGUGGCAGCAAAGAUGGAGAGAAGGCUCUGGAUGCAGAAUCAGCAGGUUCAGUUUCUAACUAGAUAGAGGUGAUGAGUGAUGGAGAGGGGUCAAGGUUUCCAGCCUGGGUAACUGGAGAGACAGUGAGUGUUUUUCUGAUUUAGGGUGGAAGACAGGAUGAUGAGCUUAGCUAAGGACUAGUUCUAUGUCUGGAGUGGAUGUGUGUACACCCAGAGGGAGGUCCAGAGUGGGAAGUUAUCAGCUCUAAGACUGAGGGAGAGAAGAGAGCUCCCUGGAGCAGUAUCUGAAGUCAGAUAAAGGCAGACAGCACAGAACCCCAGAAGGAAGAUGGGAACAGAGAGAAGAAAGUCCAGGAGAGCACCAUGACCAGGAAGCCAAGGUACAGCUUCUCAAGAGGGUGGAAGUGAUCCCACAGGGCCGAAUUUACCCCCACAGUCAGGCAGAUGAAGCCCUGGAGAUGGUCAAUGUCUUUGCAGUGUGAGGUCAGGUGCACAGGGAAGAGGGCAGGGCUGGGGCCUUGGAGGGGGCAGAAGCCAGGCCGCUGUGGGAGAGGACGUAGCUCGAGGGCUCGGCAAGGCAAGGCCCAUCUUGACCCCAGAUCCCCUCACUGAUAUCCAGACCAUGAAAAAACUGUGGUUUCCCCUUUACAAUGUGUUUCCCAUAGUUGUGGGGACGCUAACAGGUGUGUCUGCAGGGUCGAGUGCUGCCUGCUGAACAGACUCAGAAAAGGACAAUGGAAAGGGAGUGGAGCAGACACAGAGCCAGGACUGUCGAUCACUGGUGUGAAAAGACACCAUUGGUGGUGGUGGUGGGGGGAUAUCAUGGCCUUUUCUGACCUGCAGUGGGAGCCUCCUGCCUUCAGAGCCCUCCCCAGGCUGAAGUGACUGAAUAGAGAUGUUGAGAGCAUUUCUGGGCCAUGAACAAAGGGGAGAAUGCUGGUCUCAGAGUGUCUGUGGAAUCUUACUCAUUGUAGACGCCUGGCAGUGAGCUGAGAGUUAGAGCCGCCACGUGGUCCCCCUUUCCUGUGUGUUUUGAUCCUGUCCCUCAGCUUCCUUGGCCUGAUCCCCCGCCACCACCACUGCCCUUGAAAUUAUGCUCCCAGACAUUCCCCUCCUUCGGGUAGACGUUUCUCUCAGAUUUUGUAGGAAAUUAAGAUUCAGCAUGUCCAACUAGCCUUAUUGUUUUCACCAUAAAAUCUAUCUCCUUUAAUAUUUCCUAUGUUUUGUGAUAAUAUCACCAUACCGUACACCUGGCUGCUAGAGUUCUCAAGGUCAAGGUACCUGCUCUAUUUCUUUAUCCCCACAUUACACUGGCCACAUGUCCCUUCAAGUCACCCUCCAUAGCAUUAAGGGGUCCAGUCCCCAAAUUCUCUGACUUCUCAUCUUCACUUCCUCUUGCCUGGACCAUGGGAAAGGUUGCCCUUGGGUAUGUGGUCUCGUUUUGCUCCCAUCCAUUAAUCCUCCACAAGGUUUGUAAAUUCAUUGCUCAAAACCACAAAUCUGAUCAUGUGCCUCCCGUACGAGUUUAUAAACUUUCAGUGAGCCCCGGCUAUCAGCGGCUUACAAUUGAAGCUCUUUAGCUUCGCUCGAAAGGCCUCUGCAAAUCUACCUUUACUUCAUCCCAACCAUGUGCAGGGUGCGUGCUACCGACGUGCCUGAGUGAUCACGUCUAGUUCCAGCAGCAUCUUAUGAGUUAGGUACCAUGAUGUUCUGUUGCUCCGUAGACAUUAAGGAAGAAGGAGCUUGGUUAAGUGACCUGGUUUGGGAUCACGAGGCUACGAUGAGCCAGGAGUCCAAAUCACAGUUGGUGCACUUCACCCUCUGUUGGGACAGCACAGCUCCUGCCUCUGUCAUGUCUAGCCUGGUAACCAUGCCCUCAGGCUUGCAUCACACCCUGAUAAAACCAGGGUGUGGGAUGCCACAAGGACUCGGUGAGGUCACAGGUGCCUGGAGCUGGACGGGCUUCACGCAGGCAAGGCCCCACCCCAGGCACUGGUCCUGGGGUUCCCAGCACAGGUCCGGCUGUACUGAUGCUUUAUGAGGACUCAUUUCUGAGGCUACACAGGCUGACUUAGACCAGAGUGGCUGCCCUGAUUAGCUUCGGGGAUGAUGAUAAAAACUGUAAAAAUGAGAAGAGAGGAGAAGAUGUUCUUCGCAUUUGACUGCACUGAAUCUAGCUAUGCAGAGAGAUGAAAGCAAGCUCCAUUUCUUAUAGUCCCUCAAUGUCAAGUGGAAAAGGAAGUAAAAACCUACGCAAAAUGAAUCCGCUUCUCUUUCCUUUUGGUAAAAUGGAGACGAUCCCAGGGAAAUGUAGAUAGAAAUGACUGGUUUUCUGCGAAAGAAUUUAGCUUUUUCAGAAAUGAGAAAAUAAGUCAAUUAGGAUUAAAGAAAUCAACAUGCAACAAGUAUUUAAGAAGCACCACUUUUGGUCAAACCUGGCACUUUUUGCCAGGACCCUGUGGGAAAUACUUAAAAAUAAAAACAAAAUAAAGUGGGGGGUUGACCUGUUAGAAUUGCUUGGAAGAAGUAUUAAAAGUAAUUUUAACUGAAAACGAGUUUCAUAUAAAAUGAUAAUA
rnacentral:lncRNA from 1 species